UCCUGGCCAGAUUGAACGCUGGCGGCAUGCUUUACACAUGCAAGUCGAACGGCAGCGGGGGCUUCGGCCUGCCGGCGAGUGGCGAACGGGUGAGUAAUGCAUCGGAACGUGCCCAUGUCGUGGGGGAUAACGUAGCGAAAGCUACGCUAAUACCGCAUACGCCCCUGAGGGGGAAAGCGGGGGAUUCUUCGGAACCUCGCGCGAUUGGAGCGGCCGAUGUCGGAUUAGCUAGUAGGUGAGGUAAAGGCUCACCUAGGCGACGAUCCGUAGCGGGUCUGAGAGGAUGAUCCGCCACACUGGGACUGAGACACGGCCCAGACUCCUACGGGAGGCAGCAGUGGGGAAUUUUGGACAAUGGGCGCAAGCCUGAUCCAGCCAUGCCGCGUGAGUGAAGAAGGCCUCGGUUGUUAAGUACGUCGUUUCGGUCCGGGUAACGGAAAGUACGUAGGUC
rnacentral:rRNA from 1 species